AUACAGUUGACGUGUCCCAAAUAAAACGAAACACGCGUCCUGGAU
rfam:Schistosoma margrebowiei strain Zambia genome assembly, scaffold: SMRZ_contig0000678